GAGCUCAGUCGGUAGAGCAUGAGAAUCUUAACCUCAGGUUCGUGGGUUCGAACCCCACGUUGGGCA
rnacentral:tRNA from 1 species